UGCUGCUUGAAGAGAAUACACCAUUAUUGAUAGAGGACAUCACCAAAAUGCUUGAACAAUGCCCCAUUGUGAGGGUGGAGAGAGGCUGUUGAUGGUUGAGCUCCAAGCCUUGAAUUCCCUCUGCUAACCCUGCAACUGACCUUUGGGAACCUUUUUUCCUUUCCCGCUUCCCCUGUCUUUUCUUGAAGAGUCCUUGUUGCCUUUCAUUUAAUAAGGGUCCUUGGUGUACUCAUUUGUGUGGUGAUUUGCACUUCCAUCUUACAGAUAAGCAAUAAUCAGGGAAUUAAUAUCUUGAGUUCCAGAAAUAAAAAACAAAGGUCCGGAGACCUUAAAUAUUGCAUUUAAGGAUGUGCUUUGCAGAAGAGAAAGACAACUCUUCCCCACCUGCUCCCAGCUUCUGCACUGUACCUCUUUCAAAUACAGAGUUAUUAAUUCAGGCUUUGAGGAAAUUGCUCUUAUAAAAUCUCUCCUCCCCUCACUGAGAGGUUUUUUCCUUUCUAAAGCUACCAGUGUCUCAAUGCAAGUAAGUUUAGCCAGGAUGUUUUGCAGAGCAUAUAUUUUAAAGAAGGCAUACCUACUUCUCACUUUUGACCCUUCAAGCCUGCACUCAGGCACUAAGAUUACAAGCUUACUCAAAUGCAGCUUUUAAAUAUCCAAGUGUGUGUGUGAUGAUGGUUCCUAGUUUCUGGUCAAGUCAAGUAGGUAAGAUUUAUGAUGGUCUUCAGUUUUAAUUUCCAUGUUUCAAGUAAACACUUAUUACUAGUUUUGUAAACAAUGUGAUGAACAAAUGUAUUUCUGAGCUUCAGCAACUCUAACUUCUUUGAUAAUAUUGGCUUUUAAUUAUUUAAUUAAUCUAAAAAAUAAGUAUAAGCAGAUUAACUACUGCCAGUGUGAAUGUUUGGAUUUAUUGAUUUGACAGUUUAACACUGACCUCCUGUCUUGGUCAAUAUUUGCCUAGGAGGUUAUUAAAUCUUAGUGUCUUUUACAAAUGUCAGUAUAUAUAUGGUAACUAGAACAGAAGAAAAUUGCAAUGCCAGAAGUUUUAUUAACCAAUAAUGAAAGUUUGGUAAAACUAAUUAUUUUCAGGUUAAAGUCAAAUUAAUCAAACCACUGGGCUGCUUUUUAAAAAGUGGUCAAACAGCUUGACCUGCAAUUUAGGGAUGCUUACUUUCAAUUUAUCUGAGUUUAAUAAAGGAAAGCAUAGAGCAGGGGUAGGGGGAGAAGAACCAGCCAAGACAUCUGAUUUAUAGUGGAAUAAAACAUUUUGUUUAACCACAGAUUAAUAUAUUUGUUUGGAUGUGGAAGAAAAGCCAACUGAAGGAACAAAAAGAAAACCACAACUCUUUUCCUCAUACUUCAGGUAACAAACAGGAAAAGUAAGGCUCUGAGCAGUGCUUGUUACUGCAUUUGCUAUAUUUCACUAGACAUAUCAGGAAAUUUCUCUUCAUUAUGGCAGUCUAAUUUAGAUUUUAAGAAAACAGAGGCGAAAAAAGGCAGACAAACAUUUAUCUCCAGGGAGGAAAAACUGAUUCAGCUGCAGCCAGCUGUUUCCAUACAUUUAGCAGAGUACAUUCCUCCAGGGCUCCCACACUGCUGACCUAUAAAAGGUGAGUGCAAGUAGCUUCUCAAGGUGUUGUCUUUCCAGGCUAGAAACAAGACUGUUAACUACAUGAAAAAGGGAAAUAGUUUCCCUUUUUCUCAUUGCUGGAGGACUUAUUUUCCUCCUUCUAACAGGUUUCUUACAGCUCUGCCACUUAAUAAAAAAAGGAGAUGGCACUAGUCCCCAUCACACAUUCUUCCCAUUUCUCUGGGCAUAGGUAUUUAGCAAAAAGGAAUGUUCCUCUAAAGUUUUGCCCAGCUCUUCUCUGAAUUACUGCAGGAUGGCUCAUGCCAUUCCACAGCUGUUGUCUU
ensembl:lncRNA